AGGUCACAAAACCGUAAAGACAUUGCUUUCUAUUUAAAACUCUCUGUAUUUCUCACCCUAUGGAAGCUCAAUUUCAUGCUAAGCCUCUGGCAGAAGGAGAAUGGUCAACAGGCUUCUGUGACUGCAAAAACUGUUGAUCACAUGUUUGUGUCCAUGUAUCACAUUCGGCCAAGUCGCUGAGAUUGUAGAUCGAGGAUCCAUCGGUAAGUUAACUUAUACAAUACACGGUAUCAUAAAAAAGCUCUUGUCAAAUUUGGCUGCAGCAAAAGCUAAUGCUAAAUAAUUGAUGGUUCGAAAAUUUUCGGAGUGUUGUGCGGCUGGAGCAUUAUACACGUUGAUAAACGUACUCACAUAUUCUGCAUGGAUGUUCUCGUGUUUCUAUCGCGGAAAGAUAAGAGCUCAAUACAAUAUUAGAGGUGAUGCUUGUACUGAUUGCCUUAAACAUUGCUGCUGUUAGCUUUGUGCUUUGACCCAACAAUACCGUGAACUCAAGCACCGCGGUUUCGAUAAGAGUGUUGGAUGGGCGGGGAAUGCGGAGAGGCAACAAACUCAAGGAGGUGUGGCGAUGGGUGCAUGCUCCAGCCGUCCAAGGUGGCAUGACCCGCUAAGAUUUAUUUUCUUUAUGUAAAUCAUAAGUUGUCAUAUGUGUAAUAAAAAACGAGGUAUAAUCCUCUGUCGUCGUUUGUGCUGUGUAAUAUGUUUGUU